rnacentral:rRNA from 1 species
AUUGAACGCUGGCGGCAGGCUUAACACAUGCAAGUCGAGCGGGGGAAGGUAGCUUGCUACUGGACCUAGCGGCGGACGGGUGAGUAAUGCUUAGGAAUCUGCCUAUUAGUGGGGGACAACAUCUCGAAAGGGAUGCUAAUACCGCAUACGUCCUACGGGAGAAAGCAGGGGAUCUUCGGACCUUGCGCUAAUAGAUGAGACUAAGUCGGAUUAGCUAGUUGGUGGGGUAAAGGCCUACCAAGGCGACGAUCUGUAGCGGGUCUGAGAGGCUGAUCCGCCACACUGGGACAGAGACACGGCCCAGACUCCUACGGGAGGCAGCAGUGGGGAAUAUUGGACAAUGGGGGGAACCCUGAUCCAGCCAUGCCGCGUGUGUGAAGAAGGCCUUAUGGUUGUAAAGCACUUUAAGCGAGGAGGAGGCUACUUUAGUUAAUACCUAGAGAUAGUGGACGUUACUCGCAGAAUAAGCACCGGCUAACUCUGUGCCAGCCGCCGCCGUAA